UGCAAUUUCAUUAGGUCAUUACAGAGAUGUUAAAACACAGGUUGCAGAUGUAUGCAUUGCAACAUGAAGCAUGAAAUAAGUACCGCUUUGCUUUGAGAUUAGACUGCCGUCGGUCUUGUUUAUGCCAGUGGAGUCUGGCAUAAGUUCCUUUGUAUCAUUUGAGAAUUUGUGUAUGCAACAACAGGUAGAUCCGUAUACCUGAACCCCAACUUUAAUAAUUGGUCACUUUCACGAAAAACAGUGGUAAGUGCUGCACAAGGCAACACAGUGCUGCCCAGAAGCCCAGGGUGAGCAUGCUGCAUGAACUGCUGUCCUUGUGAUGCCGGGAAUAGGGGGUGAUGUGCACGAGCUGUCACCGCACGGCUGGUGGGGACACAGCAGCAUUGUUUCAUCGGGCUGAAAGUCUUUGUCAUGAGCCAUAACGGAAGGAUGACAAAGAUUUGUCCCUCUGCUUUUUCAUGCAGUGCGUGGCCCUUUAAAGCCAUCCUUUGUGACCUCAGUGACUCAACAUGAGGGACAUCAGCAAAAGGGAAAGGAAAUGCCAGAGCAUGACACAAUUGUUUCCAGGCGAGCAGGUUCCUGGUGGAGAGCCAGGUGCUGAUACCCGGACUCACACGACCACCCUCUGUCACUGGCUUUCAGAAAAGUCAUCACUGAUUGCAAAGAGCAUGAAAAGCAUGGUGAUGACAAUAUCACUUACCUCUUGUGAGGACCUGGCUUCUCACGGCCGCUGAGAAUGUAUUGCCCUGUUGGGAGACAGCAGGGAAUUACAAUUUCAAUGCUAAGGAGCAGCACAAGGGGAUAGAGAGCAGACAAACUGCAUUAUCCUGCCCUAUUCUUCUUUGGUCAAAGACACUCCUCAGUGAUGCCAAGCUAUGGUUAUCUCAGGAUGCCUUCGAGCCCAAUUUGGUUGAAGCAGACAGGGAUGGUGCACUAGUCUGUGGUCUGGCAGCAGGGAAGGGGGGGACCCUGAGCUGGUUUCUGGUCAGUGGGAACCUGCAAGUAUGGAUGUGUGGCAACUGAAUAUCAACCCUCACUUGAAUUUCUCCAAGUAUAUUACAAAGAUAGGAUACAGAGGUACAAACAUGUGGACUGUGAUCCACUUGCAGGUGGACUUAUAAAAUGAACCUAAGGAUCAAUGGCAUUCAGACUUGAAAGAGCACCCCUGGAUGACAACAGAUGAUGAUUUCUAGGGGAAAAUAAACAAUGAAUUCAUCUUGCCCCUGGCAGCAUUUCCACUGCUAGCAGAGCCUUCUCUCAGAGCAGAUAUUGUAAACAACAAACAAGGUCGGCUUGUUCGGUGCUGUGUCUUGCUGAGGACUUACCCCUUCAGAGGAAAGGAUCACAGGCAAAACUGAACUUUCGUCUGAAGUAGCUUUGAUCACUGCUGAUAGCUAUGAUGUUAAAAGUUGCUUGCCCUAGAUUGGGAGCAGCCAACCUAGAACCUGACAGGCAAGAAAAUAACAUGUAAAGUCAGAGAAUCAGGGUUUUUAUAAACUACCUGAUUUAGCCUCUGACAGGUAUUUUUAGCAUGAAGAA